UCGAGGAUCUUCGGCAAUGGGCGCAAGCCUGACCGAGCGACGCCGCGUGCGCGACGAAGGCCUUCGGGUUGUAAAGCGCUGUCGGGGGGGAGGAAAGCCCGCAAGGGUCUGACCUAUCCCCGGAGGAAGCACGGGCUAAGUUCGUGCCAGCAGCCGCGGUAAGACGAACCGUGCGAACGUUGUUCGGAAUCACUGGGCUUAAAGGGCGCGUAGGCGGCCGAUCGCGUCCGGGGUGAAAGCUUCCGGCUCAACCGGAAAAGCGCCCCGGGUACGGACCGGCUGGAGGGAGGUAGGGGCAGGUGGAACUUCCGGUGGAGCGGUGAAAUGCGUUGAGAUCGGAAGGAACGCCGGUGGCGAAAGCGACCUGCUGGACCUUUUCUGACGCUGAGGCGCGAAAGCUAGGGGAGCGAACGG
rnacentral:rRNA from 1 species